UCAGGUACAACAGGUAUUAAUAGUGGCUAUUUAUAUUCAUACUCGCGAACUAAAUAAAUAGUGAAUUUUAACCACGAAUCUAUCUGUGGGUAUCAAAUACUAUCCAAAUUCGCCACCCAUUGGGUAUCCGCCAAUUCGCUACCCAUCGGAUACCCGCCACCCGCUAUCCACAGGAUACCCGCGAAACAAAAUUUAAAUAUAAAUUAAUAACAAAUUUAACACACACACAAAAAUCACCACAAAUCACAUAGUUCAAAUCCACAUCUUGCAUAGAUAUUCAAAUCCACAAAAAAAAAAAAAUCACC
rnacentral:lncRNA from 1 species